AGUGCCUGUCCAUCCUGGUGCAGCUGUAUGGAGGAGAGAACCCUGAGAGCUUGUCCCCAGAGAACCUGGUGACCUUUGCUGACCUCCUGAUGGCCAAGGAGGACCCGAAGGACCAGAAGCUUCUGCUGAGGAUCCUCAAGAGGAUGGUGACAUCCAAUGAGAAGCUCCUAGAAAGCCUCAGGAACACCGGCAGCCUUCUGCAGGCCCUGGAGCGCCUGGCUCCAGCUCACAGCUCACCCGUCGACACUGUCGUGGCUUCCUUGGCCCUGGAUCUCCUCCAGGCUGUUGGGCAUUAGACAAGGACGUCCUGUGGCCCCAUCCACUACACAGCACGGUCAGAUCCCACUCGGUCCUCUCUCCCCAGCCUCACGUGGAGCUAAUAAAAUCGAUAGGCCAG
rnacentral:lncRNA from 1 species